GACACCAAAUUGACCGGAAUUCAAAUUCAUUUCCAGACCCCAUUUAAGUCCAAAAGCCGAAGACAAGUACUACCUACUCUUUCAAGAUACACCAUUAAAAAAAGACAAGGAGUCACCCCACUUCCAUUGAUGAGGAACUUGACAGUCAAUUAAUGCUGUAAAUUUAAAGGACAGUAAUGACAGCGGUCAGGGCAUCUGAGUCACCUGAAUCCUCCAUCACCGACUGGGGCAGCGGUUCUAGCGUGACAUCAAACUAAUGUAAACCGUCUCUUUAAAUCACUCUUGCGAUUCGAACCCUGGUGGUACCACUGGCCCAGAUAUAGAUUAAUAUUUCAUGAGAUGCUCUGUUGAAAACUUGUGAGACCGUCAAUUUCCUGCCUAAUCUGUACUACUGUAAAGGCUUUUGACCACUACAAAGUCUGCAAAGGUGUUUCCCAGAUCAUGAAGAGCGUGUGACCAAUUAAGAUACAUCCUAAGAAAGGAUAUAUACACAAAGGAUGUAUCUCUGUAUAUUAAAAAAGGUAUAUACACAAAGGAUAUAUGUAUGUAUAUUCAUAAAAGAUAGGUAUAUACACGAAAGAUAUAUGUAUGUAUAUAUUCAUAAAAGAAAGGUAUACACGAAGGAUAUAUGCAUGUAUAUUCAUAAAAGAUAGGUAUAUACACAAAGGAUAUAUACAUACCUUUGUGGCGAUUCAGAAGAUUUAAAGUGCUCUGCACGACAAAAAUCACGGGUAUUCACCAACACAGUAAUGCAUAGGUGAGAUAUGCGCGCCUCUGAGCUGUGUUGCAGCUGGACAUCCAAACUUUGCCUUCACGCGCCAAUUUAUUAGUCUUCUUCACACCAUUCUUUUACCUUCCUUACUAAAAAUACAAACCCUACAAAGCGCCUUUCCGAUUAUAUGGCUGAUGAUAGAUUGAUAGAAUGAAAUUGUACAGAUUUCUAUUUCGAAGCCAUGCCAUGAGCGUCUUGUUGCUGCUACUUCUGUUGCAGGGAGCGACCUGUAGAAGAUUGAAAGCCUCCAGCUUGGCCGUUUCUCCGCCAAAACAAGCCUUUAAUUCAGUAAACGUGGAGAUGCGAAGAAAGAGGCACAAGAGAGGAGAAUUCAGAGACUGUCUUCCCAAGGGAUUCCGUCCACCACCAUCGGCGCCCAGUCACUUUGGGAAUUCGCAGACAGUUGGCUCAUCUUUCAUCUGCUCAAAUGAUCUUUCAAACCCUUGAUUUUCUCAGCUCAGCUGGAUGUGUUGUUUCCAGUUUUCAAUAAGCUGGGAUGCAGAUGUUGCUUUCACGCUGGUUAUUUAUGUAAAAAUUCAGUUGGAUGUGCUGUUUUCAGUUUUCGAGAUACAGAUGGUUCAGGUCAUGAGGGAAAACAGAGAUAAAAAUAAAACAUGUUCUACUCUUUAGUUUUUAA